AUUUUGUCAUUAAUGAUUCCAGAUACAUAGGUUCCACAAGGUAGGAGUGUACCCCCUGCUACUCCUCAUCAAGAGGAAGAAGGAUAACAUUUUGUCGUCAACUGCACUGUGUCCUCACAGUGGUAUGAUAAUUUCAGACCUCAAUGGCAGCAAUCCAAAGGUUGUAUGAGGCAAUUGUGAAAGUUGCAAUCAACACCCAUACCCCCACACUACAACCCUCCAACCCUCCUCCUGUUGCUGCCCAAGAACUGUCUGAUACAGUUGCCCCCCAGGAGACCAGCUGCAACCUCAUCCUCACGCAGGUUGAACCCCCGAUAUCCCCCACCACCCAGGAGACCAGCUACAUCCCCAUCCUUAACCAAGUUGAACCCCCAAUAAUCCCCACCACCCAGGAGACCAGCUACACCCCUAUCCUCAACCAGGUUUAACCCCUAAUAAUCCCCUCCGCCCAGGAGACCAGCUACACCCCCAUCCUCAACCAGGUUGAACCCACAAUACUCCCCACCACCCAGGAGACCAGCUUUACCCGGAUCCCCAACCAGGUUAAACUCCCAAUAACCCCCUCCGCCCAGGAGACCAGCUACACCCAAAUCAAAGAAGACGGGGAGAAAGUCCUGUCACCCUAAAAAAAAAAAUCCAACUCGCUGACCAUGACAUAGUCAGCCCCAUCCAACC
ensembl:lncRNA